rnacentral:tRNA from 1 species
UUCCUGGUGGUCAAGUAGCUAAGACUCCACAUUCCCAAUUCAGGAGGCCCAGGUUCAAUCCCUGGUCAGGGAA